rnacentral:rRNA from 1 species
CAAUAGCGUAUAUUAAAGUUGUUGCGGUUAAAAAGCUCGUAGUUGGAUUUCUGCUGAGGACGAUCGGUCCGCCCUCUGGGUGAGUAUCUGGCUCGGCCUUGGCAUCUUCUUGGAGAACGUUACUGCACUUGACUGUGUGGUGCGGUAUCCAGGACUUUUACUUUGAGGAAAUUAGAGUGUUUCAAGCAGGCGCACGCCUUGAAUACAUUAGCAUGGAAUAAUAAGAUAGGACCUUGGUUCUAUUUUGUUGGUUUCUAGAGCUGAGGUAAUGAUUAAUAGGGAUAGUUGGGGGCAUUCGUAUUUAACUGUCAGAGGUGAAAUUCUUGGAUUUGUUAAAGACUGACUACUGCGAAAGCAUUUGCCAAGGAUGUUUUCAUUGA